ensembl:lncRNA
GGCGUUUUGCGGCCGGUCCUCGGCCGGCAGGGUGGCCUGGGGAUGUGUGAGAAACGGGAAUCCUCGCCGGGUCAGGAACCCAGAACUCUGGCCCGGCUCGGCAGUGGGGUGGUGACAGCCCUCCAGGGGGCGCCCGGAUCGGACUUGGGGCUCAGUGGCCCCGAGCUCACCGUGGGAGCCUCGCCGCGCUUCAGCGGGGAGGCCGGUGAGAGGGCCUGCCCACGCCUGCCUUCCCCACUGUGCUGUGAGCUCACGCACAUUCCGCAGGGGACCCCGCGGCUGGAGCAGCCAGGACUGGCUGCAGCUGCUGCGGAGGAAGGGAGGGCCAGGCCGGCCGGAAGACAGGCCCUGCACUCGUCCAGGAGCGGGGGGACCAGCUGGGCGCCCAGGGCUGAGGGCGAGGGCAGCGCGGACAGUUUUGCCUCUCUUCAGAAGGAAAACGACAGCAAGACUCGCAGGCUGGGGGCACGCGGGGAGCGGGGUUGGCACCGUGUCGGACGGACAGCGCGCGGCGCGUUAGCCCGAGGCCUGAGGCCUGAGCUUGGCGGCGGCCUGCAGCCAGAGGACGCGGGAAAGGGAGCGGGCACCGGGAGCGCCGCUUCUGCGUCUGCCCGCGAAACCUUAGGGGGACCGAGGCCUCCCUGGCGCCCAGCACAGCCCAUCCAGGCCCGGGCGGCUCCUGGCGGGGCGCGGCCAGCAGGGGGCGCGCCGCACCCGGGAACGUGCGUGGCGGGCGCCCGGCAGGGGCCGCCCAGGAGGAGGCCGACUGCGGAUGCUGCCGCGCGUGGCUAGGGCCCCUGGAUCUGCAGCUCCGAAACACGCGUGAGCUUCCGGGCCCCCGAUCUGACAGGAGGCCCAGCAGGGCAGCCGGGCAGUUUCCGCCUGGCGAGGAAGCUUGCGAAUGUCACCUGUCCUUGGCCUCUGACUGGUGUUCCCCUGUGGCCUAUGGAUGCUGCAUUUAUGUUCCUGGUUGCUCUGUGAACCCCAUACUGAGACGAGUCCCCUUCUAAACAUCGCCAGGGUCCAAGAGCUGUCUGAUCCUCCCCAGCCCUGACUGUCUCAGCUCCAGGCAGGUGGGGACAGCGCCUGAGUGGUCAGGAGGACCCGAAAGUCCUCUGGAUGGGUUGGAAAACACAGCCAGAUGCUUCCUUUUAAAAAAUCUUCAUAUUGACAUCAACAUCAAGAUUAACCCUCAGACUCCCGAAAGUCACUUGUUACUUCAGCCAGCAGUGAAGUUGGCCGACUCUUCUGACCUUGGGCGGCAGUGGGGCCUGAACCCUGGCCCGCCCACGGAGAGCUGCCGCUGAGCCCCUUUUCCACCUGGCUCCCCGGGGAACCACAAGCAGACAGACUUCCUCCUAGCAUUAAGUAACUACCCAGGCGUCAGUGGGCGCAGUGCCGUUAACUGGUCGCCCUUCACAGACAGGUGGAAUUCUCCCCACAUUCUUUACUGGAACCUAAAUUUGGGGGUGUGCUUUCCAGAACCUUUGCUUUUUCUAUCCACACACACAGAAAGUAACCAUUUCUCCCUGCACCUGUUUUCCUUCUUUCUGAGCCGAGGCCUCACUGCUGUUUGUCAUCCAGGGCUGGCCUCGAACUUGCAGGCCCACUGCCUCCGCCCUCUGAGUGCUGGGAUGGCAGGAGUGCGCAUGCUGGCCUUUUCCUGCUUUCCCGUUUUCCCUGGACCUGCAUCUCCAGGAGCCCCAAGCCCGGCUGGCGGCCCGGGGCUGUGCAGCAUCUCGCCUUCCCCGGGGGGAGAACGUCACUGACGCCCCUGAAAAUGGCUUGUGAGGGAGACCACUUUGUUUCCAUUUCCGGUCUGUAAUUUGCAGAUCUUUAAGAAAAAGCAGCGAAACCCCUUCCAGGACUCUGUAUUCGUAGGAUUUCUGCCAGAAGGAUCUCAAGAUCGCAGGAUCCACCUGACGGGACGCAGAGAGGCUCGGGAGGAAGCGGGCGGCCGGGUGGGAUCCGCCCCAGCCCCCUUCCACCACACCGAAGAGCCAGGUCCUUUGCUGCCUUGCUCAGCGCCCGCUUUUCCGGCUCCUGUCUGCCCGUCUGUCCUCUUUCUGUUUAAUUCACCGCUGGUCACUUCCUGCUCGGCCCCACGUCUAAUCGGAGUGUCCGGCAGCGGACCAGCAGCCCUCCUCGCUGACGCUCCGGCCCAGCGAGGAGCGCAGGCCCCAGGCAGCUCACAUCCGGCACAUCCCAGGGGUGAGGCGAGGCCUGAGCCCUGCCUUGGCUGGAAGAAUCGGAACAGCGCUGAAGACAGCCCCAUCCUCCUUUAAAAACAAUUCUGUACGGUGCAGUGGUGCGUGCCUGUAACCCCAGCACCCGGGAGGCUGAGGCAGGAGGAUCCUCACGAGUUCAAGGCCAGUCUGAGCUACAUAGUGAGAUGCUGUCUCAAAAGACCAAAAAUUCUAGCAUCAUUGGUGGAAGAUGAUAAUCUCAUUUUGUUUUAAUUUUUGACAGUAUAAAGAAUAAUUUUCAUAUUUACUAGAUUUGUCUUAUUUAAUUUCCCCUUUUGCUUCAAGCCAGUCUUUCUCGGUUGUACGCUCUUUUGCAAACCCACCUUGGCUACCCAGGGACUUUCUACUUUGAAUUUCUAAAGAGCCAAAGCCAACUGCGGAUGUUUACCGAGCUUGUGCUGCAAAGGAGUACAGGGGAGCGCUCCGUGCGCCCCCGUUACGCGCACCAAGCAGCCCGGGGUGCUGCUCGGAGCCCCCGGAGGAAGGCUCGGGCUGUCAGGCCUGCGGUUAGGAGCCCUGCCUCGGCUGCCCUGGGUGGAGCUGCUUCCAGCACCAUCAGGGAUACCGCGGGGCAGUGGAGGGGCGAGGGGUGCAGACCCCGCUGGUUCCAGCGGCCGCCCUGAGCAGGGGACCCUGGAUGUUGGUACUGACAGGAGGCCCUGAGGGCUGAGCGCGCCCGGAACGGGGCAGCGCCGCGGCUCUGACCCGGGCUCACUGGCUCGCACUUAGCGCGCAGUUCUCAGGGGGCAACGAGACAUUUCCUGCUCAGGUCCCGGCUGCGGAGGGAGUCCCGGGUGAGGGAUCUCCCCGAAAUGCCAGGCUGAGAAGGCCUCAGACGCUCACAGGGGAAGCCCGCGGCCUUUGCCCUCGAAGGAAUUUGGGGCAGAUUCCUUCUCCCAGUCACAGUUCCUUUCUUGACUGACCAAAGCUGUAGUUUGACUUCCUUCCUGGAACUCUGCCCUCUGCUGUUGGCCCCGCUGGCCCCGCUGCUAUAUCCUCAUUGGUGGGUCCCUUUUGCCUAUAAACCCUCAACAUAUAAUGGUUCAUCUUAGGACUUUUCAACGUUAUGCUACUACCAACGCCACAAACAUUCAGGAGAGACUGUGCUUGGAGUGCUGAUCUCUGUCUGUCCCUCGGAAGCUGCGCCAUGACCCUCCUCACUCCGGGCUGGCCAGUGCAGCUCCCCACCAGCCAGGACCCACAGUGUGUCUGGGCUCUGCUUAAUGGGUGAGCUGUACCCAAUGCAUCUCCAGUUUAUGCUUUUAUCAACGUAGGGUGGGUUUAUUAGGCUGUAAGUCAAGGAGCAGCUGUCUUUGAGAUGCCACUGUUAGGGGCAACCUGCAGAUGGCCCUGUGAGGGGCAGCAAGUGGUGCGGCCCAUCCUCCAAGUACCCAGGCAUCAUGGGGCACCUGUAGCAGCCACUUGACCUUCAAAGCUGUGACAGUGAAUCUUGAUGGUCAACUUGCUUGGCUUGAGAGAGUCCUAGGAGAUUAGUCAAGCAGAGCGUCGAGUGUCCCGGUGUCCCCUUAAGUACUUUGUCUGGUCCCUGGCCCCUGCCUCUCUGGUCCCACCCUCUGCUUCCCAACUGCCAUGAGUUGAGACGCUUUCCUCCACUUCCACCAUGAUGUUCCUGACCCGGAGCCAACUGACUGUGGACUGAACCUUCUGAAGCUGUGAGCCAAAAUAAACCUCUCUUCCUUUCAGUUGCAGGUGUCAGCUGUUUGGUCCCAGCACUGGACAGGUGACAAAUAUAAUGGUAUCAUGUAAUGUCGGGACUGGCUAGAAAAGUCUGAGAUCGCCCAAGACAACCGGGGAGCCCAGAGUGUCUCUUCAACACCAAGGAAGAGCCAAGAGGCACUGUCUUGUUGGAGACAACAGCUAAAAGCCUGCAGAGCAAGGAUCCGGGGGCAGGGGCAGGGAGCAGCUGCGGCAGUUCCAGCGCAGAGUCCUGUGACCCGCUGUGCAGUGCUGGACCUGACCGAUCGCUCACAGCCCUCCUUCCUUCGGGCACGCCUUUGCACCGAGCUGCCUUCCCAGCCCACCCCUGUCAGCUGCGUAUUCUGAGACGUUGUCUCCCUAAGUCACUGAGUUGCCCAGGCUGGGCGCAAACUUAUGAUCCUCCUGCCUCAGCCUCCCAGAGCACGGUGAAAAUAGGCCUGGCUGGAAAGUAUCCUCUACAUGCAUCAUCUUCACUGUCCUCUCAGCAGCCCUAGAUCAGGACUGCUUCGUCAUCUUGUAUUCCAGAUGGGGAGACGAGGCACAGAGAUGAGUUCCCGAGGCAGGGAGCCAGCCGACUCGAGCCCCACACUGGGGUCACAGAGCAUGCUGGUCGGCGCCAAGCUCCUGUCGGGCCGAGGGGCAGUGUGGAGAGCAGCUCUAGGGUCAGCUCCCCUGGCUCACAGGGCCGGGGCGCCCCGGGGGAUCCUGGCUACUCCUCCCCAGAGGAGAAGGCUGGGCAGGGGGCCUCUGCUCUCUACAGCGAGAUCCGGAGGAGUCCGGACAGAGGGGAGCGUUCUCUCAGUCUGGUGUUGGGCCCCAACUUCAAAGCCCAGGGGUCAUGGAAAGCGCAGGGAAGGCCGUGCUGCUGAGAAGGCCCUGCGGGCUCUGGGGUCAGGGAGAAGGCAGCCAGCCCGUCUGCAGCUCCCUUGCUCUCAGGUGUAAAGUGCACGGAACUCCCUGGCUCUGCACUGGUGGGCUGGAGCGCUCACACACGGCAAAUCCUCAGCCCAGUGCCUGGCACACGGCCUGUUCUCAGGCCCCAUGGGAAUCUCGCUUCUAGGGCUCUGCUAAUAUCAGUCUGGGGAUUCUGCCUCUUAGGCCAAAGUCUCCUCUGAAUUCUUUACUCCCUUGUUUCGGAUGACAAGAUCCAGGACUUCUUUUAGUACCUGUGGUUCUCGAAGUCCCAGGGCCCUUUUCCACAUCUCACUUUGGGCUUGGUGCCGUGGCCAACAUGGCCAGGGCUCUGGUGCUCACCUCUUCCUCUCCAGGGCUGCAGAAAUAGGGCCCCUGCGCCCUUUGGCCUGCAGGGCUCCUGGGCCAGGCUGCCCCUGCUAGAGGUCAGGCCCGCUGGCUUCCCUAGGCUCUGCACCGAUCGCCCAAGUCCACUGCCUCUGGCGGGCCUGCCGGGCGCAGCCCCCAGAACCCAGCCCCUGCUGCCUCCCUGAGAAUCCUGCCAGAGCUCUCUACUGCGACACCAGGACCUGAUGACAGCAGCAAGUUGGGUUCCUUUUUGUAGCAAAUGACAAGAGAUCCAGCUGAAACAAACAUAAACCACUCUGUGAUAGAAAAGUCAGGGCGCAGCAGGAUGUGAAAUCGCCAACCAAAUUAUCAAGUCUGUGCCCGUCUUUGCCCUCUGGUGGCUUCAUUUGGCCAGAGCUCCCCAGUCAGGCGGCAGAGGCAGCUCACCUGUGGCUGCCUGCGGUUCCUCUCGGGCAUUGCUCCUCCCACAUGCUUGCCCUUCGAAGCAAGGUGGUGACUUCGAAGAUUUCUCUACCAGUGGUAGAAUACCUCUGCCUUCUCUCUGAGGUUGGGUGUAGCUAGUGAUGCAUUUCAUUGAAGGAACAUGGUUGUGAACCACAGGACAUCAGUUCUGAGCCUUGGUCUUAAGAUCUCCAUUUGCCCUUCUCCACUGCUGGUGGGAAUGCAGACUGGUGCAACCACCGUGGAAAUCAGUAUGGAGAUACCUCAAAGAACUAGGACUGGAGGUCCCGUUUGACCCAGCUACUCCCCUGCUGGGGAUCUUCCCCAAAGAAUUAAAAGAAUCAUACCACAGUGAUAUAUGUGCACCCAUGUUCACAGUGGCACAGUUUGUGAUAGCUAAAGCUUGGAAGCAACCCAAAUGCCCAUCAACUGGAGACUGGAUCAAGAAAAUGUGUUUUUUUUUUAAUAAAAUGGAGUACUACUCAGACAUAAAGAACAAGAAACUAGAGACAUUUAUGGCCAAAUGGAUGCACACUGAGGCCAUACUCUUAAGUGAAAUAAAUAGGACACACAUGUGUAAAUACCAAAUAGUUUCUCUAGUGUGAGAAACUGACAGUGUAAAUAAGGAUUAAAACAUAUAAUAGAUAAUGUGAAAUAGGAAGAAAAGGUCCAAAGGGGUAGGGGUGGUGGGAGGGGAAGGGGAAAGGGAAGAAGGGAAAGGAAAAAUUAUGAGAAAAGAAAAAAAAUGGAAACAAAGUCUAUGUAAAUAGGGAAGGGUGGAGGGGGUGAAGGGCGAACAGGUAAUGGGGAAGAAAUAAGAACCAAGAUACGUCGUGUACAGGUGCAAGCACCCAAUGAGAAAUGUAAAUGAAUUGUAUACCUAAAGUGUACCAAUAAAAGAAUCUAAGAAAACAAAAGAUCUCCAUUUGCUUUUCCCACGCUUCUGGAAUCACCGUGAGCG